rnacentral:rRNA from 1 species
CAGUAGCCGCGGGAAUACGGAGGGUGCAAGCGUUAUCCGGAUUUAUUGGGUUUAAAGGGUCCGUAGGCGGAUCUGUAAGUCAGUGGUGAAAUCUCACAGCUUAACUGUGAAACUGCCAUUGAUACUGCAGGUCUUGAGUAAAUUUGAAGUGGCUGGAAUAAGUAGUGUAGCGGUGAAAUGUAUAGAUAUUACUUAGAACACCAAUUGCGAAGGCAGGUCACUAAGAUUUAACUGACGCUGAUGGACGAAAGCGUGGGGAGCGAACAGGAUUAGAUACCCCUGUAGUCCCUGUCUCUUAUAC